AAGUCGUAACAAGGUUUCCGUAGGUGAACCUGCGGAAGGAUCAUUAACACGUAUCCAAACGUUAAAACCCCCCCCGUGAACCUUCAUCCUGCUCUUGUAACCCGCGUAGUUCGCAAUCUCUGAUAAAUCAUAGCCCGGAAAGUUGUAGUGAUUCAGAGACCUCUGGCUACGUGCGAACAUUGGAACAGUUACAAUCGAGCGGUAGUUCUAUAGGCAAUGUUUCCCCAAGCAGUCAGUGUCGGAAAGUGUCAUUGAUUGUGCAAGGAUAGCGCUUCUACGAUUCCUGUAGACCGUACACUCGCACAGUUUAAUGUGAAGCUCAAUGUAAUACAUUGGGUAAAAACACGGAACAACUGUUAACAAUGGAUAUCUUGGUUCUC
rnacentral:misc_RNA from 1 species